rnacentral:rRNA from 1 species
UUCCGUUUAUCCUGCGGACGAUCGCCGCUAUCUGGAUCCGAUUUAGCCAUGCAAGUUUUCCGAGAGGAAGCGUACGGCUCAGUAACGCGUCGAUAAUCUGCUCUAAGGCCGGGGAUAACCUUGCGAAAGUGAGGAUAAUACCCGGUAGGGAACAGGUGCUGAAAUGCCCUAUUCCUGAAACGCAAGGUCUUAGAAUGAGUCGGCGUCCGAUUAGGUAGUUGGUGGUGUAACGGACCACCAAGCCAAAGAUCGGUAGGGGCAUUGAGAGAUGUAGCCCCGAGAAGGGCACUGAGACACUGGCCCUAGCCCUACGGGGUGCAGCAGGCGCGAAAACUUUACACUACGCGCAAGCGUGAUAAGGGGAUCCAGAGUGCUCAUGCACUGCAUGGGCUUUUGCCAACGGUAAAUACGUUGGCGAAUAAGUGGUGGACAAGACUGGUGCCAGCCGCCGCGGUAACCCCAGCACCACGAGUGGGGAUCGUACUUAUUUGGCCUAAAGCGCUCGUAGCCGGUCAUGUAAAUCUCUUGUGAAAUCGUUGCGCUUAACGUAACGGCGUGCAGGAGAAACUGCAAGACUAGGGACUGGGAGGCGUCGAGGGGAUUCUUUGGGGAGCAGUAAAAUGCUAUAAUCCUAAGAGGACCACCUGUGGCGAAGGCGCUCGACGAGAACAGGUUCGACGGUGAGGGGCGAAGGCUAGGGGAGCGAUCCGGAUUAGAUACAAGAAAUUUCCGAGAAAUUUCUGUACAAGCAAGUAAAUUUCGCUCAGAAAACUACAUUUACUUGCUGUCAGGAAAGAUAAUGGAAAUUUGCUUGCUAAGUACCCGAGUAGUCCUAGCAGUAAACGCUGCGGGCAAGGUGUUGCAUAUUCUUCGUGAAUAUGCAGUGUCGAAGCGAAGGCGUUAAGCCCGCCGCCUGGGGAGUACGGUCGCAAGACUGAAACUUAAAGGAAUUGGCGGGGGAGUACUACAAGGGGUGCGGCGUGCGGUUUAAUUUAAUUCAACGCAGGGAAUCUCACCAGGGGCGACGGCAGAAUGAAGGUCAGACUCAAGAUCUUGCCUGACAAGCCGAGAGAUGGUGCAUGGCCACCGCCAGCUCGUGCCGUGUGACCUUUUUGCUUGCGAGCAAAAAGCUCAACCAAAAAGGUCCGGCAAAGGUGUCGUGUCAAGUCACGCAACGAGCGAGACCUGCACUCACAAUUGCCAGCGAAGAAAUGAUCGGGCACUUUGUGAGGACUGCCUUCGAAAGAAGGAGGAAGGUGCAGGCCACGGUAAGUCCGUACGCCUCGAAUCUCCUGGGCUACACGCGCGCAACAACGGUCGGGACAAUGGGCUGCAACACCGAAAGGUGAAGCUAAUCCUCUAAACCCGAUCUCAGUCCAGAUCGAGGGCUGCAACUCGCCCUCGUGACGUCGGAAUCCCUAGUAAUCGGACGUCAACAUCGUCCGGUGAAUCCGUCCCUGCUCCUUGCACACACCGCCCGUCAAGCCACUCGAGCAGGGUUCAGAUGAGCCGUGCCUUAUUGGGCAAAGCGAAUCUGAGCUCAGUGAGAUGGGCUAAGUCGUCACAAGGUAGCCGUAGGGGAACCUGCGGCUG